AUUGAACGCUGGCGGCAGGCCUAACACAUGCAAGUCGAGCGGAUGAAGGGAGCUUGCUCCUGGAUUCAGCGGCGGACGGGUGAGUAAUGCCUAGGAAUCUGCCUGGUAGCGGGGGAUAACGUCCGGAAACGGGCGCUAAUACCGCAUACGUCCUGAGGGAGAAAGUGGGGGAUCUUCGGACCUCACGCUAUCAGAUGAGCCUAGGUCGGAUUAGCUAGUUGGUGGGGUAAAGGCCUACCAAGGCGACGAUCCGUAACUGGUCUGAGAGGAUGAUCAGUCACACUGGAACUGAGACACGGUCCAGACUCCUACGGGAGGCAGCAGUGGGGAAUAUUGGACAAUGGGCGCAAGCCUGAUCCAGCCAUGCCGCGUGUGUGAAGAAGGUCUUCGGAUUGUAAAGCACUUUAAGUUGGGAGGAAGGGCAGUAAGUUAAUACCUUGCUGUUUUGACGUUACCAACAGAAUAGGCACCGGCUAACUUCGUG
rnacentral:rRNA from 1 species